rnacentral:rRNA from 1 species
AUGAUUGAAGUUUUUCUAUUUGGAAUCGUCUUAGGCCUAAUUCCUAUUACUUUAGCGGGAUUAUUCGUGACUGCGUAUUUGCAAUACAGGCGAGAUCCCGAAUAA